rnacentral:rRNA from 1 species
UGGGGAAUCAUGGUCAAUGGGCGAAAGCCUGAACCUGCGACGCCGCGUGAGUGAUGAAGGUCGUAAGAUCGUAAAACUCUUUUCAGGGAUCUUAAAGCACAACCGUCAACAACGGCUGUGUGUGACUCUCCCUGGAAGAAGCCCCAGCCAACUACGUGCCAGCAGCUGCGGUAAUACGGAGGGUGCAAGCGUUAUUCGGAAUUACUGGGCGUAAAGGGCGUGCAGGCGGGAGAGCAAGUCUGAUGUGAAAGCCCGGGGCUUAACCCCGGAAGGGCAUUGGAAACUGCUUUUCUUGAGUUCUGGAGAGGAAGGGAGAAUUCCCGGUGUAGAGGUGAAAUUCGUAGAGAUCGGGAGGAACAUCAGUGGCGAAGGCGCCCUUCUGGACAGCAACUGACGCUGAGACGCGAAAGCGUGGGGAGCAAACA